CUCCAUUUGAGCCGAUGCGGUUCUUUUUUCAAAUCUCAGGUCUCCACUGUACAUCAUGGCUCUGAUGCGAGACAGAGACAUUUUGUCAGCCCACGGUGAAGAUGUCCGAAACCUUUAAGAGGUUAAUUUGCUUUCCACACUAUACAGCACGCACUGUAUGCACCCCCUCCCUGUGGUGCCGUUUGUGUGUACCUGAGCUGAGUGAGACUUUUGGUGCCGAUGUCCUGACAGGCGUGUUGAAUGCCAGCCAGCAGCAGGUCAAGACGGUAUUUGUCAUCAUUGUGCGUGCCGAUGGCAGCACCGCAUAGCAACUGUUUGCGGCAAUCUUUGGAGGCCAGAGGGAAGUCUCUAUUCUUCUUCAGGUCAGUUCGGGCAAUGAUGGACACCAGGCAGCCAUCUUCAUUAACAAUGGGGAGUUUGCCUGGAAGAGGAACACGGGUUAAAUUGCUGCUGGUUUUUAAGUGAAAACACAAAAUAGACAUAAGUGUGGUUUCAACCAUUUUUUUUACAUGGUGCUUUGGAGACAUAAAACGCUAACAAAAAAAAGAGGACAUGGGUUCAUUCAAGACAAACAAUGGUUGAGCACAGAACUGUUUUGUGCUUAAAAUGCUUGUGUACUUUAAACAGCUCCUGUGUUCAUUGGAGUAGCAAUAUUGACAUACCACUAUGACAAAAUCUCAACACACACAUUUACGAAGGGUAUUCGAAUAUAGGACAUGUGGGGACAAAAAGUGGCCUUGCAUGCAUAUUGCAUACUACAUCUUUUCCAGUUGUUUCUGUAGGUCCAUGUCAACGGGGAUUUGUCUGCCUGUGAAACUUUCUAAACUAACCUUAAAAGGGUCACCAACAACCACCAAAAACACAAAAUCACACCAGGAGACACCAAAUGGUCCUCACCUUUCUUACUCUUUUGGAGGAUUUCAUUGGCUUCUUUCAGCGUGACACCAGCAGGAGCAAUUACGAGAUCCUCUCGCUUUGUCAUCACCUGUCAAGGUCACACACACCAUGAAUUACACAAAUAAACAUCUUCAUACUGCAGGCCAAAUCCAGAGAUAAUUGUAAUUUUUUCAUGGCUUCAUCACACCCAUCUCUAACUUGAAAAAUGAUAUUGUUAAUACAGUUAAGAUUGCUGUGUGAAUAUUGGGAGAAAAGCUUUCAACUAAAAAUUAAUGUCUUGUCCCUUAAAAGGCGCUGUCACUCCUUUUAACCCCAUGUAAUCACAAGAGUGAAAGAAAAAAAACUAAUCCAAGACGCUUUCAGUUUGAUCUAAAAUAUACACUUCCAAAGUAUUGUGACCUUUUCUGUAACGGUUUCAAGACAAGGGCCAGAGAUUUAAAAAAAAUAAAAAUCAUGAUGUAACUAAUGCUAUGACAUCGCCAGAUGGGUAUUCUGGCUCACUCCGAUGAUGUUCAAUUGGAUUUAGAUCAGGGCUCAUCAAAUGCCACUUCAGAAUAGUCCAAUGUUUUAGUAUUAGCCAUUAUUGGGUGUUUUUAGGUGUGUUUUGGGUAUUUAUCCUGUUGGAGGACCCAUGACCUGCGAUGGGACCAAGCUUUUUGACACUGGGCAGCUUAUUUCACUGCAGAAUGCCUGGACAGUCUUGAGAUUUCAUUGUACCCUCCACAGUUUCAAGAGACCAUGCGCUGCAUGCAGCAAGAAUGUUCCAGAACAUAACCUCCUCCAUGUGUAAUUGUGGGUACAUUUUUUUUUUCCCCUCCAUUUCUUCAACUGUAAACCUAGAGCUAAUUUGACUUGCCAAAAACCUGCAGUUUUGUCUUACCCAUCCAAAGGACAUUAGCAUAGAAGUUGUGUGACUUGUCAUUUGUCAGUUUGCAUUUUUAGCAAAUUCCAGUCUAAAGUUCAGUAAUUUUAGGUUUUUUUUCUUUUUUUAAUGGAAAAGUACCAACUAUUUUGAUCAUGUGUAAGCUUUGACCCAAACGCCAUUAACCAAUCUCAUCUUCAGUAUUAAUGAACUAUCAGUUACCGCACUGAGAGGUAGGUUGUGUUCCUCCGCCUUGAGGAAAUCGAUGUCUCGGGAAGAGAUGAUGCCAACCAACUUGCUCCCCAUUUUGCCGUUGUCCGUGAUGGGAAUACCACAGAAGCCAUGGCGGGCCUUGGCCUGAAAGACGUCCUGUACGAGGUGAUGAGGGCUCAUCACCACCGGGUCUGUGAUGAAGCCCUGCUCAUACCUCUGCAGUGGGGAGGAAGAACAUGGAUACGAGAGGGAUGAUAAGCUAUGUUUCUACUGGACAACCGCCAACUAACAAUGACGGGAAACAAAAAACUGACUGGUAAAAUUGUUGGAGAAAAAAGAAACAAUCCAACAUGAACAUAAGGCUGUUUCAGUUCAGCCAGUCCUGCCCCCUUUUUUAACAACAAAAAGUAUGGUAUGUCAAAAUUAUCUACUAGUGCUUGUCCAGCUCCAUAUUCCUAUACUGACUAGAGCUGUACAGUAGUUUGUUUGAGCAUCAUCAUCGCGAUGUACGUGUGCGCAAUAGUCACAUCGCAGCUCUACUGUAAUAUACAGUGAAUCAACUGUAAUAUUAAAAGUGACCAGCAGAGGGACCUGUUUGGACAUGCUCAUAAGAUAAGCACCCUUGUUACGGUAAAUUAUAACGCUUCAAACAACACACGCAGCAGCCCAGAAUUAAACUACUGUAGGCAGGCACACGGCAGUGUGUGAGUGAGCGAGGUGUGUCCAGGGACACUGCGUAAAUGAGAGUGAAUGUGUUCUUUUGUAAUACUGAACAGAAUUGAAAAAAAGGAUUACAAGGAAAAUUAUUUCUAUCAGAAUGAUUUAGGUAAAACACUGUACGGUCAUACUGUGAUUUUAUGGAAUGUAUUUUGUUUUGAAAUAUAAGAAAAGAGAAAUUACAUUGCCGUGAAAAAGUAUUGGCCCCGUCUCAAAUUCUAAUAUUUUUACAUACGUUUCCCCACUUUAAGAUCAUCAAAAAAAUGUAAAUAGACAAAUUUAACCCAAGUGAACUUAAAAUGCCGUUUUUAAAUUGUGAUUUCAUUAAGAAUUUUUUUUAUUUUUUCCAAAGUUACCUAACCCUGUGUGGAGAAAGAGUAAUUUUAUUCAUGGGAAAAUAUUUAUUGUGUUCACAGAAAGCAAGGUAAAAUAAAACCUCACUGGGAGAUGAGAAUUUACUGUACCCCAAUUGAAAAAUCUUGCUCUUUAAUGAAUCACUUAACACAAAAAUGAUAAUAAACUGUUAUUUCUAAAUAAGCACUUUCAAAAUCCUCUGCCCACUCUUUUCCCAAAGUGACAGAAAAACAUUAUAGAAUCCUGCCAUACCAGUGAUGAUGAACGUUUUAAGCACACAGAAUACAUUCAAAAAUAUUUGACACUUUAUGUUGGGAAAUUACUUGGUCAAACAUCGUUUUGUAAUACAUAGUCAUUCACGAGAGCCAAAAAGACGCAAGAAUGCAACCCAGCACAUUCUAUGUGGUAAAGAUACAGCUGCCUAUGAUUAUGCACAUAGCCAGCAAGUGGUUUUGUGUGCAAUGCAGCAUCAAGAAAUUAACCAUUACUGGAACCAAUAGCUGAAGUGUUACAAUGCUUCAUGAAGCUUCAUCUCACCAUCACUAGUGGCCAGCCUACAAAGAUUAGCCCAAGAGAACAGCAAUGACUCAUUCAGGAGGCCACAAAGGAACUUAGGACAACAUCUAAAGAACUGCAGGCCUCCCUUGACUCAGUUCAGGUCAGUAUUCAUUACUAAACAAUAAGGGAGAGACUGGGCAAAAAUGGCAUCCAUGGCAGAGUUCCAAGGCGAAAACCAAUGCUGACCAAAAAGAACAAAGGCUCGUCCUACUUUUGCAAAAAAUACAAACAUAUAAAUGAUUCCAGAGACUUUUGAAAGAAUAUUAUAGGGACUGCCGAGAUGAAAGCUGAGCUUUUUGGAAGGUGUGUGUCUCGUUACAUCUGGCGUAACGUGACACACAGUAUUUCAGAAAAAGAACAUCAUACCAAUAGUCAAACAUGAUGGUGGUAGUGUGAUGGUCUUGAGCUGCUUUGCUCCUUCAGGACCUGGACAACUUUCUGUGAUUGUUGGAACCAUGAAUUCUGAAGGAGAAUGUUCAGCCAACAAGUUUGUGACCUCAAGGUGAAGCGCACUUGGUUUCUGCAGAAGGCUAAUGAUCCAAAACACACCAGAAAGUCAACUUCUGAAUGGCUUGAAAAAAAUAAAUGGUUUUGGAGUGAACUAGUCAAAGUCCAGACUUGAAUCCGAUUGAAAAGCAGUGGCAUGACCUUAAAGAGGCUGUUCAUGCUCAAAAACCCUCAAUUUUUGCUGAAUUCAAGCGUGGGACGAAAUAUCUCCAGAGAUGUGAAAGACUUAUUCACAGUUAUAGAAAAAGCUUGAUUUCAGUUGUUGCUGCUGAGGAUGGCCAAACUAGUAAUUAUGUUUAGGGGGCGAUGACUUUUUCACUCAGGGUCAGGUAACUGAAUAGUUUUUUUUCCUUAAUGAAUUAAAUCAUUUAAAAACAGCAAUUUAAACUAACUUGGGUUAUAUUUGUCUGAUAUUUACAUUUGUUUGAUGAUGUUAAAGUGGGGAAACUAUGUAAAAAUAUAAUAUUCCUGUUGUCUCUUCAGUGCCAUUGUCUCUAAUCUGUACAUCAUGGGUGGCCUCACCACUGUCAUUGCCCUUCAUCCUAGCACUCUUCUGUCACACAACACACCUGACACCUUCCUCCACCUAAUCCGUUCCAUCCCCACAUUGUGCCUAUUCUGGUGUGUGAAGGUUGUUCCUCCAGGGGACAGUAUUACACAUACAUACAGACAGAGUUUCACAACUAUAUCAGUAAACUGGAGUAACAGUCAUAUUUUUGCAUAAAAUAAAGAAUAUAUGCAAGUGAA